GACGAACGCUGGCGGCGUGCUUAACACAUGCAAGUCGAACGGAACGGCCCUGCUGUUGUGGUGUGCUCGAGUGUCGAUUGUGUGUGUGACACGUGCGUAACCUGACCUCGACUUUAGGAUAACUUCAGGAAACUGGGGCUAAUACCAGACAGGUGCUCCUACUGCAUAGUGGGGGUUCGAAAGAUUCUGCGGUUGGGGAUGGUCUCGCGGCUUAUUAGCUUGUUGCGUGGGUUGGGUAAUACCAAGGCGUAGACGGGUAGCCGGGCUGAGAGGCGUACCGGACACAUUGGGACGGAGAUACGGCACAGACUCCUACGGGAGGCAGCAGAGGAGAAUAGUGUACAAUGGGAGGAAGCCUGAUGCAACAACGCCGCGUGCGGGAUGACGGCAAGCGGGUUGUAAUCCGAAUUCGCCUGAGACGAAGCGUGAGUGACGGUAAUGGGUAAAGAAGCACCGGCUAAAUACGUG
rnacentral:rRNA from 1 species